AGACUUGCCACGGGAUCCUGGUGAUCUUGUGAGACUGGGGAUGAAAGUUCAUGUGAAUCACUUGCAUUCAGGGUGUGGAAGAUGCGUUUUACACACUGGUGAGAGAGAUUCGGCAGUACCGGAUGAAAAAGCUCAACAGCAAUGAAGAUGGGAAUCAAGGCUGUAUGGGGUUGUCUUGCAUUGUGAUGUGAUAAGAUGCCAGGUUCAGAUGUAGCUGCUGGACAAGUCUCAAUGCUACUGUAUUGUGUCUCAUGCUGAUGCCCUGCAGUAUUUUGGUGCCAGCGACCAGACUCUUGGUACCAGUUAAUUAGCACAGGAUCCCUUUCUGUGCUCCAUCUGAAGAAAACAUCUCUGGUAUCUACCUCCUUGCUCAGCUCACAGAGCAGUCAUAUCUCUUGGUGUACUGGGAUUCUUUUCUAGCUGUGCUGUCUGGGUUUGUUCAAGAAGAAAACCAGUCACAAGAAAAGUGAAUUACAGAGACUAAAUGCUGUGAAAAAGAUCACACUUUACCUCCAGAGUAAAAGCUAGAAGUGGCGUUUGACCCCUUUGCAUUGGAUCCAGAUUUGCGGUGUUGUCAGAGGAGUGGCAGAAGUAAUUUUGCCAUUACAAAGGUUUCUGUCACCAAUUGGAUUGAUAUCUGCUGUCUGUGCACCCACACAGCGUAUCUGCAACAUCUGCAUUGUGCCAGGAGUAUCACUUAACUGAUUAACUGAUCCUUUAUUUUUCUGUAAUAAAAAGGAGAUAUCUUCGCUAACUUAAGUGCCUGUUUGCUCAGAAGGUUGGAGGUUGUAAGCUGUUCCCUUGGGCUGAGGAAAACCCCAAGGAUGAAUUUCUUGGGUGCUCAUUGUCUUGAGCAGGCAAGUUUUGUGUAGGUGAUCUCUUUUCAUGGUAAGAUGCUAAAAUGGGAAUUUGUAGUCUGGAAGAUCGAUCGGGUGUUUGUGAGACUCUUGAAUUAGGGAGAGAAACGUAUACUACAUCUGUUCUUGAUCCAUCAGAAUGGAUCCACCCGCCUCUUUGCACGUGGAACUGUGUAUAUUCUGUACUGGUUUUCUACAGCAUUUGGAUCUCUUUCAGGUUGGACCAAAUUAGUGACCUGUUCAUUUUGACAUAACUGCCAAUAUUUAUAGACAAUUUCUUACGGACCAAUAAUGAAUCUAGAAACUGGAGGUUACUUUGGGCAGCUGUUCCUCAGCUCUGUCUGUAACUUGCAAAUUAUUCUGAGUUAUUUUCUGCAGAGCCUCCUUCCUCGCUGGGGGAGGAGCCUGGGAGUUGAGGUUGACUAUAAUUGGGUCAAUGGUUGUCGCAGACUUAAGGUGUCCAGGCUGAGUGGAAGAGGCACUGAGCCCUAACAGAACACUGAGCUGACUUCUAAUUGCAGCAUCUUUGCAAAAUGAGGAAGGGAGUUCAGUGAUGUCUGCACUGGAGAUGUAUGAUACGCUGAUAUCAUUUCUGGGUUUGUUGUAACAGCCUCAAAGUAGGACUGAAGUACUGUGUGAGCUGUGUGACUUCUUCCUAGAACAAACCAGUGCCACCCCAUACGACUGGGACAUGCAGGUGAGACCAAAACCUAUCAGGCUCCUUGGUGUACCUUGGCCUUCUCAGUUCUUGUGCAAGUGAUGCUGGGUUCUGUUCUGUGGUGCCAGACAGUGUCCUAUAGCAAAGCUGAAUUCCCAGUUAGUCUGGUGAGAGAAUCAUGAGCCUUCAGCCAACAGAGGGAGUGUUCAGUCUGCUGGAGCAGUGCAAGCUGUAGACUUGACAAGAGGUGUAAUUUCAGUUUGUUGCAGUCAGGUUCCUAUAUUUUCAAAACUGAAAUGAGAAAUAAGUAAAUACUGAGAAAAUAAACUGUUGCUUUUAAUGCUCUUUUCUCCACUAAUUGUACUCUUAAUUUUCUUCUUGGGAUGCAGAGGAUCGAUCUGUGUAACUUUAUCUGUGGUACUCCAGAUAAGUGUUUUAGAAUUCAUUUUAUCCUUGAAUGACGGAAAUGAUAAGAAUUUAACACAACAUUUUUACAUAAAACAUGGUUUUCUAGUAACCUACUGAGUGGUGGGAAACAUUAUGGGAUAGCACCAGCUGUGACUCGAGUUCAUUUGAAGGCAAUCUCUUGCCUGCAGGUUAAAUGGGACAGAAUCACAAUCGCUGUGAGCUGUCUGUGAUCAGCAAGCAGUUUGUGGGUUUUUCUUACUGUGUUCUUUUUGUCUGUCUUAGUUUGGUGCAGGAAUUGUUCCUCCUGACAGCAUUCUUUGAGGUGUGUCAGCAGGAGCUGACUUUGCUCCUCGAGCUGUGUGAUGUACUGUUGUCCACUUAAUGGAAUUACAGAAAGAAACAGCUGCUGGGAGUCACAUCUGGUCACAUACAUUCAGUGUUUUGGAAAGCUGUCAGUGUGGAGUUUGCUCUGUGUUUGAAUGGUGAGUUCAUGGUGGGUCUGUUAUGCUUCUGGAUGAUCUGGGGAAAUGUGGAGCUGCUUCCCUGGCAGCCAGGAGCAGCUCAGGGUGCUGCUGCCUAUGGCUGUGGGAAAUCUCACAGUUGGUGUUUGAACAAUGGCCAAAUAUGCCAAUUAAAAAUACAUUUUGAAGGGAAAUUUGUCAUAACUCUUUACUUUGUGUGCAUGCUCUACUUUCUGAAAACAAACUAGCCAUAACUCAAAAAGUUGUGAAUCCUCAGAAUAAUACAGGAGCUGGCAAUUGUGUCUGCUUUCUCUUUGUUUUCCAUUUCUCUUGGGUUGGAUAAAGCUUUAAAAAGGAAGGAGCCCUGGUGAGGGUUGGAUGGUUGGUGUGCAUUUCAUUUUUGGAACUAGAGAAGAAGUUGCAUCAACUUUCAGGAUGCUGCAGAGCUCACUUGCACAGGUGGUGUUCCAAUCUGUGUUAUAUCUAGAGAGUGAUUUUGCAAAAUCAGAUUUUGUACCCAUCAUGAGCAUGAAGUGAAUGGUUGUAAUUGGUUUCCAAUUGUAUUCCUGUAUCAGACAUGCCUAUAUGUGAGUAGUUUGAGUCAGUCAAGGUUGCUGUCAGUACCUAAAGCUUAAUGCACCGCAUAAUGUAUGCAGGCAAAAGUCCUAUCUUAGGAGCCAUCUCUUCAUGGAUUUGGGUUUAUAUAGGCAGUGUUUUUAAACUGGAUAUCUGAAGCACUUUCUGGAGUUCUCUGGUAAUGCAGUGGCAUCUAUCUGGAUGAAGGAAGAUGUGUUUGAGGAGCACAUGAGCAGAUUUGCCUCCCUAGCAGAGAGGUUUUGGUGACUGUGGGAAAGGUUUUGUGUCCUGGAUCUGUGUGUGCUCUUGGUGAGCUGCAAUCCAUGACAGGGUACAGCCAGAUGAGAAGGAAACCUGGCCAUCCUGUGCUUGAGCACAGCUCUGACUCAGUAGUUGCACCAGAUGUGCCCUUUCAUUCAAGGUGUUCUGAUCUCUUAGAGCUUCCUGUAGUUUAAAAAACCACUCAUUCUACAGCUUGCUCGGUUAAUGUCUGUUGGCGGCGUUGAGUUGGACGUGUGUAUGGUAGGAAGCAGCAGAGUGUGAUGUGCUUCUGUAAUCAGGACUUUAACUAGAAUGGUUGGCAGGUGGAAAAUGCAGCUAUUCCUUUAAAGCAAGCAGAUUGUGGACGGUCGGCCAAACUGCCCUGGCUUUGGUGGGAACUGCACUGCAGAAGGACCAAACCCCAACAAGCUUUGGAACUUUUGUUUAGAAGAUAAGCACAGCUGGUUUUGCACAAGGCAGCUCCUAAUAGUGGUGACUGUGUAGAUUUAGUCCAAAUGUUCUUAUAUAGAUUUAGCAGCACCACACUGUGUCCACGCCCAUCUAACCUCGCUAUCCUAAGAGGAACAGACCCUAAACAACCUUGUUCAAAAACUACCAGUGCAAAUAACUGAACUAAAUAUUUGUUACUGCUGACUGAGAACAGCUGUUUUAGUGUAGCAUUGUGGCUUGUUAAUGUGAGUGCCCCAGCUCCAUGGUCUUAUUAAAAAACAAACACACACAAAAACAAACAUUGCUCAGAUUUUGUUCUUAUUGUCAUCAGUAAGACUUGAAUAGUGAUGGUAAUGCUUAUGUAGACGUGUCUUGUGAGUGCACUUCAGUGAUUUAGAAAGAACUGGAUUUCAAGCAACUUUGGACCUGUGGGGGGAGGGAGAUUAAUGAAGGUUUGAAUCGCAUUCUAAUUCUGUCCUUCAUUACUCUACAAGCCUAAAUCCUAUACAGCCUCCAGGAUAGCUGGAAACUGUUGAGAUCUGGACUUUUUUUUUUAUCCAAGGGCUAACUUGUUGUAACUUGGUAUAAUUAUCUGCUUUCAGAAAUGCAUCCCUGUUGGUUUGAAGUAAAUUAUUUUGCUUCUUAAAUAACUUUUUAAAGAAUAAACUCUGUGAAUUCUUUGGUUGUCUCUUUUAUGGCAGUGGUCUGGAGCAAGAUCACACAGCUGGCUUACAGAGAACUCAGCACACACUUGGUGUUCCACGAGUGAAAUCAGCUAUCGAGGUAUUAUUUCUGUGCUCAGUGCCCUCUGUUAGGUUUUUAAGUUGUGUAUCUCACUCUUCUGAAGUAGUGCCCUACUGGUUCUCCUGCACAAGAAGUACUGAACCACUCAGUAAAUGUGCUUUAGGUACAUUGCUCCUAGAAUAUGAUAGCAGACUUCUGGGAUCCAAAGUCCAAUCUGUUUUCUGUGUAAGGAACUGAAAAAUAGACUUUCAAUAACAGAAGAGCUCCCCAAACCACAGUGCAGCUAUGGUAAAGCAUUUCAAAACAAAGGUGACAAAUGAUACUGGUGAACUUCAGCUUUUCAGCUCCCUUUGCCUGUACUGGCUCAUUUUUUGCACAUUCAAGGGGGUUGGAGUCUGGAGAUGUGUAGGAUGGGAUGGAGGCAUUCUGCCUUCUGCUGCAGGGAAGCACAGUCCUCCCUCCACCUGUGUGUCACAGCCCAGAGCUGUGAGUUGCAGACGUUCGGCCUUGAGUCUGCAGGAUCUGUUUUUCCUGGGCAGCAGAUUCCCCCGCUGUUCUCACUGAGCAUUGCAGCCAUUCUCACCAUCCUCAGCAUCACAGGAAUUCCACCUCGGCCCUGAGGUUAUCUGCUAUUUCCUUGAAUAAAGGUGAGUGGCCUUGGUAACCUCGGGUGCGUUUGGGUUUUGUUUUUCUUUCUUCUUCCUUCCCUGAGCAGAACAGAGGAACAUCGCCAGCUGUGAGCAUUGCCUGCUGCAGUGCUCAGGGAAAGUCACUGCACAUCCUGGCAUGAGGCUGCAGCCUGAGGAAAAGUAAGGCAACGGGCUGCCCUGCGAAGGUGAAAUGAAAGCUCAUAGCGUGCUGAGGGCCUGGAUGUGAAAUCUACCUUUUGAAGGCACUCCUCCCAUUGCCAGGAAGAUCCCCUUCUCUUGAUCCAAAGAAGUUUGCUUUGUGCUGCAUAUAAAACUCCUUGUAUUGCAGAGCCUGUUCCUAAGGGAGAGAUUGAGAAUCACAGCACAGACUGAUGCUUAAAAACAAGGCUGUUCUGAGCUUAUUAGGGAAAUUUUCCCUCCCAUAUAGCUGUAAUCUUCAGCAAUUUGUUCCUAGAAAGUGGUUCAGAUCUCGAAAAGGGCGCAUUGAUCUUCGUUUCAUUCUGGAGCAGGGGAUGAUUUAAGCGGUCCUGGAGGAAUCUGUGGGGGGAUGAACAGGAGCAAUGUGAGAUGAGAAGAACCUUCUGAGGGCCUCCUCAAUGCAAGGUGCCAGUAACAGGUUACAGGUGUAACAGCAAGGGGUGCACUUGUGAGUUUCGGUGUUCAGCUCCUGAAGGAGUACUAACAGGGGACUGUAGAUGACUUUCUAGCAAGGCUUGUCCGUAGGCCUUUUGGGCAGCUUACUCUGAGGUAUGUCUGCUUUAUGAGGCAGAUGGGAGGCAGAUCUUGCCAAGUUCCCCGAGCUGCCAAGUUCCUGGCAUGUUUGGCAAUCUUAGUAGACCUAGGCAGAAUGAAGGCAGCUCAGAGAGAAGCGCGAGGUUUCUUUCAGAACACACUGAAAGUCUCUGCGUGAAUCAUUCAUUUCCCAGCUGAAAACUGGGGAGAGGGCCUGCUUGCCUUCAGUCCUGCUUAAAGAGGCUGUAGUUCUAACUUUAGCACAUACCCAACCUUUACUCAUAUUUCUACCAUGAACCCAAACACUUUGACCCUGUGACUUAGAUGGCUAAGGGAUCAGAAGACCUCUUGAAGAAGAUAACCUCUGCACCAUAAAGGUUAUUUUUGGUUUCAGAUGUGAAUCUUAAGGCCUUGACAUGUCAAGAAAGGUUAGGGGCAGGUCUGGGCCCUGCGGGAGAGCAAACAAGCAGGAGUUUGCUCUUACUGGCCUUAAAUGGAACAGCUGUACAACAGUGUGGUUUGGGGACUCACAAACUGAUGAGUUGGUGACAAGAUGAAUAAUUAAGAAAGUGAAGACAAGCAAAGAGAGGUGAGAUAUUACAGAUCAAGACCUCCAGCAUCCCAGUUUUGCCCUACUGGUUACACCUCUCUUGCUGGGGAUGGAAGCCAACUGAUGUUAUUGAGGAAUAUCUUGCAGGUGGGACUAAAACUCUGAGUUCUGGAGGAUUUUCUAAUUGUAAUCCAGCGUGGCUUGAAGCUAUACCCAUCAACUAGUAAUCUUGCAGAGUUUCUGAAUGCUUUGGAAAUCAUCUCAGCUGAAAUGCAGGGCAGAGGCUGAGCCCAUCUGCCUUCACUGACUCGUGGUGCCACGAAGCUCCCCGUGCAUCCCUGACCACAGUCUAUGAUUUGUGCCUUCUUUCUCACUCUGCCUCUCAGGCAGGUGAUCCUUUCACUUACAGCAGCCUGCUUCUGGGACAGCACCUUCCCUGAGCUGUUCCUACAGAGUACAGCACAGAAGCCCUUACACACGUGUACCUCCAAGCAAUGCUUGUCCUGGCCAGGGGUGCAGGUUAUUCUGAUCCCUUCUCUGUUAGGAACAAAGUCACCUUUUAAAUCAUCAAUGAAAAUCUGUUAGAAUGCAGCCUGAAUGCUUUACUUACUCGUCCUGAUCUUAAUGCCACUUACCAUAACAAAUAGGAAAAGACCCUGUUUCAAAUAUAAGCCAUUUUAUACUUCUGUUUAGGCUUACAUGCAGUACAAAUUUUCUUCAGCCAGGAACUGUUUUCCAAGAAAAGAGAUCCUAAGAUUUACCUGUGUGCUGGAAGGAAUCUGCUUAACAUGAGUCACGAGGAGGGACUUCGCAAAGCCAUUCCUGCUCUUUCAAAUCCAAGUCACUCUGGGUACUUCAGGGGAGUUUCUCAUCACACCUUGGAUUGUGCUAAAUGCCGAUCACUGCUAGAAUAAACAAGACAAGCCUUGGCUAUGGCUCAUUGCAUACAGAAACAGAUGACACCCAGGCUUGCCAGCUGAUGUAAAUCACCUCACUACAAUACAAAGUCUUAUAAAGGCAGGUCCUGACCAACUCAGGAGCAAAAAUCAUAGCUAACGCCUCCUUGUGUUUUCUUUAUUUAUUAUUAUUAUUUUCCCUCCUAUUUCAUUCCUCUGGGAAGAUGUGAGGACAUCUGUACAACUCCUGCAGCUCCUGUUCUCAUCA